UACGAAGGGGGCUAGCGUUGUUCGGAAUUACUGGGCGUAAAGGGCGCGUAGGCGGCUGUGCAAGUCAGGUGUGAAAGCCCUGGGCUCAACCCAGGAUGUGCACUUGAUACUGCACGGCUAGAGUGUCGGAGAGGAUGGUGGAAUUCCCAGUGUAGAGGUGAAAUUCGUAGAUAUUCGGAGGAACACCAGUGGCGAAGGCGGCUCACUGGUCCAUUACUGACGCUGAGGUGCGAAAGCGUGGGGAGCAAACAGG
rnacentral:rRNA from 1 species